rnacentral:lncRNA from 1 species
AUUAAUAGUAAUAUCUAGGCAAAAAUAAUCAGAAACUGAUUUUGGUUGUUGUUGUUUUCCUUUCAGUUUCAAUGGGAACUUCAGAACUGUUUGCUCACUGAAUUCUUCCAACCUGUGUUGAAGUAAAGCAAGUUCAGAUUAUCAUCUUCCACAUUUUUCAACAUCCUACCCAGUUAACAUGACACUAUUUUGACUGGCUACACCCCUGUCUGCCUUCCAGUAGCUGAAUCUUUGACACAAUAUCAUCGUCUUUGUCCCAUCUGGAAGAAUAGGAACG